UCAUUUGUCUAUUAAUUGUAGACCCGUAUGAAAGGCAUAAUGAGGGUUUAACUGUCUCUUUUAGUAAAUCAAUUAAACUGAUCUCCUACUCCAAAAGCUAGGAUACCAACAUAAGACCAGAAGACCCUGUGAAACUUUAACUAAAAUAUUAAAACCUAUAAUAUCUACUUUAGGUUGGGGCGACCUUGGAAAAUAAAAGAACUUCCACAUACACAUUAUACAUAAUGUACCACCGGCCAACAAGCCUACAACGACCCAGCACAGCUGAUAAUUGAACCAAGCUACUCCAGGGAUAACAGCGCUAUCUUCUUCAAGAGCCCAUAUCAAAAAGAAGGUUUACGACCUCGAUGUUGGAUCAGGACAUCCUAAUGGUGCAACCGCUAUUAAGGGUUCGUUUGUUCAACGAUUAAUAAUCCUACGUGAUCUGAGUUCAGACCGG
rnacentral:rRNA from 1 species